GGAGUGAAAUAGAACCUGAAACCGAGCGCUUACAAGCGGUGGGAGUCCUUCGGGAUGACCGCGUGCCUUUUGCAUAAUGAGCCUACGAGUUACUCCUCACUGGCAAGGUUAAGGACUUCAGGUCCGCAGCCGAAGCGAAAGCAAGUCUGAAUAGGGCGUAUAGUCAGUGGGGGUAGACGCGAAACCUGGUGAUCUACCCAUGGUCAGGUUGAAGCUCUGGUAACACAGAGUGGAGGACCGAACCCGUUCACGUUGAAAAGUGUUGGGAUGAACUGUGGGUAGGGGUGAAAGGCUAAUCAAACUGGGAAAUAGCUCGUACUCCCCGAAAUGCAUUUAGGUGCAGCGUUGAGGUAGAGUUAUAUAGAGGUAGAGCUACUGAUUGGGCUAGGGGGCUUCACCGCCUACCAAACCCUGACAAACUCCGAAUGCUAUAUAAUAUACUCAGCAGUGAGGGCGCGGGUGCUAAGGUCCGUGUCCGAGAGGGAAAGAACCCAGACCAUCAGCUAAGGUCCCUAAGUACAUACUAAGUUGAUCUAACGUUGUCUGAUUGCACUGACAGCUAGGAUGUUGGCUUGGAAGCAGCCAUUCAUUUAAAGAGUGCGUAACAGCUCACUAGUCGAGCGAUCGGGCGUGGAUAAUAAUCGGGCAUAAGUAUGACACCGAAGCUAUGGACUUCGUAAGAAGUGGUAGGGGAGCAUUCUAGUCGCGCUGAAGCGGAAUUGCGAAUUUCCGUGGAGCGUCUAGAAAAGAAAAUGUAGGCAUAAGUAACGAUAAUGCGGGCGAGAAACCCGCACACCGAAAGACUAAGGUUUCCUCAGCUAUGCUAAUCAGCUGAGGGUUAGUCGGGACCUAACGCGAACCCGAAAGGGGUAGUGGAUGGAUAACUGGUUAAUAUUCCAGUACUAGUAUUACUGCGAUGGAGUGACGGAGAAGUGAAAGACCUGCGUGCUGACGGAAUAGCACGUUAAAGAGUGUAGGUAUAGGGAUGGUAGGCAAAUCCGCCAACCCUGCUGAACUUGAUAGUACCAUGAGCCUUCGGGCAAGUGGAUAUGGUCCUAAUCAUACUCCCAAGAAAAACUUCUAAGCUUCAGGUAAAUACUACCCGUACCGCAAACCGACACAGGUAGUCAAGGAGAGAAUCCUAAGGUGCUCGAGUGAUCCGUGGCUAAGGAACUAGGCAAAUUAACCCCGUAACUUCGGAAUAAGGGGAGCCUCCUUCGGGAGGUCGCAGAGAAAUGGCCCAGGCGACUGUUUAUCAAAAACACAUGGCUUUGCAAAAUCGAAAGAUGAAGUAUAAGGCCUGACACCUGCCCGGUGCUGGAAGGUUAAGAGGAGAUGUCA
rnacentral:rRNA from 14 species